rnacentral:rRNA from 1 species
GCAAGUCGAGGGGUAACGAUGUAGCUUGCUACAGGCGACGACCGGCGCACGGGUGCGUAACGCGUAUGCAACCUACCUUAUACAGGGAGAUAGCCCAGAGAAAUUUGGAUUAAUAUCCCAUGGUAUUAAAGAAUGGCAUCAUUCUUUAAUUAAAGUUCCGGCGGUAUAAGAUGGGCAUGCGUGAUAUUAGCUAGUUGGUGAGGUAACGGCUCACCAAGGCAACGAUGUCUAGGGGUUCUAAAAGGAUGAUC